GCGCCCAUAGCUCAGCGGUUAGAGCACUUGACUUAUAAUCAAGGGGUCGAUGGUUCAAAUCCAUCUGGGCGCA
rnacentral:tRNA from 1 species